rnacentral:rRNA from 1 species
UAAUGCAUGCAAGUCGAACGAGUAACCUGCCGUUCCGUAAGGAACGGUAGGGGACAGUGGCGAACGGGUGCGUAACACGUGAGAAACCUGCCCCGAAGACCGGGAUAGCCCGGGGAAACCCGGAUUAAUACCGGAUACCCUCGAUGGAUCGCAAGGUCCGGCGAGGAAACGGUCCGCCGCUUCGGGAUGGUCUCGCGGCCUAUCAGCUUGUUGGUGAGGUAACGGCUCACCAAGGCAGCGACGGGUAGCUGGUCUGAGAGGACGAUCAGCCACACUGGGACUGAGACACGGCCCAGACUCCUACGGGAGGCAGCAGCAGGGAAUAUUGCACAAUGGGCGCAAGCCUGAUGCAGCGACGCCGCGUGCGGGAUGAAGGCCUUCGGGUUGUAAACCGCUUUCAGGAGGGACGAAAUUGACGGUACCUCCAGAAGAAGGCCCGGCCAACUACGUGCCAGCAGCCGCGGUAACACGUAGGGGCCAAACGUUGUCCGGAUUUAUUGGGCGUAAAGGGCUCGUAGGCGGUUUGACAAGUCGGUCGUGAAAACCCGGGGCUCAACCCCGGGACGCCGGUCGAAACUGUCAUGACUA